ACUCCUACGGGAGGCAGCAGUGGGGAAUUUUCCGCAAUGGGCGAAAGCCUGACGGAGCAACGCCGCGUGAGGGAGGAAGGUCUUUGGAUUGUAAACCUCUUUUCUCAAGGAAGAAGAUCUGACGGUACUUGAGGAAUCAGCCGCGGCUAACUCCGUG
rnacentral:rRNA from 1 species